rnacentral:sRNA from 1 species
ACUUCCGGCCGUUGCUCAGGCUCUACACCUGGACAGGGCAGCGGUAGGGCAGCGGUGGGCCGGCGGUUGCGCUCCUCAGAUGGGCGGCCUUCCGGGCGGUGGCUUGCAUUUGAGCCUCAGAAAGCGAGGAGCGGCCUCCACGGAAGCCAAGCUGGCCGAGGUAACCGAGAAGCGGCUUCCCCUAUGGCUUCGACCCUGGAGCCCCUGGAGCGGCGGCGGCCGCAGGGAGGCAGCCAUUUUCCGUAGGCGGCGGCCGCGGCGCUUCCGGGCCGCGCGGCUGGAGCCUGUGGCGGGGCCACCGUCGGGCUUGAGAAACCAUUCUCUCCCCGCUUUUCGCAGCUAUAUCCCAGAGGCGUGGCUGAAGCUCGCUGGGACACUGUCCGCUUGCCCAGUGCCCACGGGCACGCCUGUCGCAGACACAGGCUGUGGCGAGUCCGAGUGCUGGCGGGCAGCAGUGCCUGCAGCUGCGCCGCCGACCCUUUCCCGCCUCCGCUGGCAUUUCCGUGUCCGGCCGAUGUCAUGCGGUCGGUUGAGCCUCAGGGCUAGCAGCUUCUACUGAUGCAGAAACAUAGGAAGUGUCUUUGCUUCUGGAGCCGGGGUGGGCAGCAAGGAGCUGGCCACUUCUUUGAAUACCGGUGGCAUCCUGGGCAGAAUUUCGGUGCCGUUUCUGCUGGCUCACUUCAGGAAAAGUGAGGCUCACGGCUCUCCUCAGCCCCCCUUAGAAGUCUAAAUGACCGCUGGAGAAAUACAAAGUCAGCAGAAAGUUUCACUUUCAUCGUCACCAACUCCUGUUGGAGUUGAUAUUUAAUAAACAUCAGCGACAGAAAGAAAAUACGACUUGAUAUUUUGUAAAUAAGAUAUCCUUUUUUACAACUUGAUAUUUUGUAAACACAGGUCAACUGUAAUUUUCUCCAGAUCAAGUAAGCACACUUAAAAAUUCGUAUAGGCCGGGUGCGGUGGCUGACGCCUGUAAUCCCAGCACUUUGGGACGCCAAGAUGGGUGGAUCACGAGGUCAGGAGUUCGAGACCACCCUGGCCAAGAUGGUGAAACCCCGUCUCUACUAAAAACACAAAAAUUAGCCGGGCGUGGUGGCACGCGCCUGUAAUCCCAGCAAGUCGGGAGGCUGAGGCAGGAGAAUGGCUUGAACCCGGAGGUGGAAGUUGCAGUGAGCUGAGAUCACGCCACUGCACUCCAGCCUGGGUGACGGGGAGACUCCAUCUCAAAAAAAAAAAUUCGUAUAAAUCAUCUGCAUGGCACCCUUUAUGUGUCUUGCAAAGAAGAAUGAUGAGCAUCUUGUUACUUACUUGGGAGACAUUGUCUGAAAAUAGGCUACUUUUUUAUUUUCCUUCUGUAGUACCCCCUCCCCCCCACUUUAUCUGGGUUUCACUUACCCGCUGUCAACUGCCAUCCAAAAAAUAUUAAAUGGAAAACUCCAGAAAUAAACAGUUCAUUAGUUUUAAAUAACUUUUUUUUUUUUUUUGAGAUAGAAUCUCACUUUGCUGCCCUGGCUGGAGUGCCCUGGCACGGUCUCAGCUCACUGCAGCCUCCGCCUCCCGGGUUCAAACAAUUCUCCUGCUUCAGCCUCCUGGGUGGCUGGGAUUACAGGCGCGCACCACCACACCUGGCUAAUUUUUGUAUUUUCAGUAGAGAAGGUUUCACCAUGUUGGCCAGGCUGAUCUUGAAGUCCUGAUCUCAGGUGAUCCACCCACGUCAGGCCUCCCAAAGUGCUGGGAUUACAGGCAUGAGCCACGGCGCCCCGCCAGUUUUAAAUAACUUAUUACCGUGUUUUAUUGUUAAUCUCUUAUUGUACCUAAUUUAUAAAUUAAACUAUCAUAGCUAUGUAUACAUAGAGAAAAUAGUAUAAUGCAGUUAGAUGCUGUUGGGGGUUUUAGGUAUUCACAGAAUGUACUGGAACUUACCCACCUUGGAGAAGGGAUACGACUGUAUUUUGAUCUCACCGUCUCAGCUCCUUUGCCAGUAUUCCUACAAUGGAAAAUAUAAAAUGUUGUUUUUUAAGGUGCCUUUAUUUUUAGUUUUUAAAUUAGAGACAAAGUCUUGCUCUGACUCCCAGGCUGGAGUGCAGUGAUGAGGUCAUGGCUCACUGCAACCUUGAAUUCCUGGGCUCAAGUGACUCUCCCACCUCAGCCUCCUGAACUAGAACUACUGGUGUGCUCUACCAUCCUGGCUAUUUUUUUUUUUUUUUAAUUUUGUGUUUUGUAGAGACGGGGUGUCGCUGUGUUGCUCAGGCUGGUCUGAAACUCCUGGCUCAAGUGAUCCUCCCACCUCCGUCUCCAAAAGUGCUGGGAAUGCAGGCAUGAGCCACUGCCCCUGGCCUAAAAUAUUUUUAAAGUGAAGGCUUCCAUCUUCACAAGAGGGUGAAGGGUCAUAAAAGUUGUACUCCCCUUACUAGAGACAGACGGGGAUGAUCUGUUGAAAUUUAAGAGAAUCUCAGAAUGUUUUCCUAAUCUUAUUUUCUCCUAUUCUUUUCUUAUGGGGAAGAUGGGAUAGGAGGCACACCAGUUAAAUCCUUGGAAAAUCCCAAAAUACUUUUCAGCCAGUGGGUGCCAAUUUUCUUACCCACGAGCCUUUCCUAAAUUGUUUUCUUUUUUAUAAAAAAGACAGUUGUCCACUGACAUUUGUGUUUUUUGUGCUGUGCUUCAGCUGAAUAAUAGAAAAGGAGAAAAACAAAGGGCCUGCUCGUUGAUUUUGAAGGGAAGACAGGAUACUUUUUCUGUUCUAUUUUCUCUCAUAAGUCGCAAGUGAUGAGGUUCAUGUGAAUUUCUUAUUGAUACAUACUUUUUUUUUCUUGUCCUCAGUGCUUUUAGGAAGAAGAUCCUUUUAUUGCUUUUGUACAAGACCAGACAGGAUCUCAUUUGUCAAACGUGGUACCAGUUGGGUGUCUUAACACAGGAGCAGAACUUCCUAGAGCAGAAUGAUGAUGGUAGAUCUGAAAGUGGCUGCGUACUUGGACCCUCAGAUCAGGGCUUUGUGGGAGACCAAGGGGCCUGCAAGAGAGAGCUCCGGUCAGAGUAAAAAAUCUCCUCGAAUGGACAGUCUCGAUCCUAAGAGCUCUUGCUGGCACUUCCGGAACUUCACCUAUGAUGAAGCAGCUGGACCCCGUGAGGCUGUCAGCAAACUUCAAGAAUUAUGUCAUCUAUGGCUGAGGCCAGCGAUCCACUCAAAAGAGCAGAUACUGGAACUGCUGGUGCUGGAGCAGUUCCUGACUAUUCUGCCCAGGGAGACACAGACCCAGAUGAAGAAGCACCAUCCACAGAGCAUUGAGGAGGCUGUGGCUCUGGUAGAACACUUGCAGAGGGAAUCUGGUCAAACAUGGAAUGGGGUGAGAAGAAAGAUUCCUGGCGUGUACAGUGAAAUAGGAUGCAGGUGGAUAUAGCAGAGAUGGUGGCAGUUAGUUGAGAAAUUCGAUGGAUUAGGUCACUGUGUUUUUUUUUUUUAGGACAGUUAAGGUGGGACUUGAAACUACAGGCCCACAGAAAAGUUUACAGGUUUCAGAGAUUGUGGCAGAUACUUCCCUGGCCUUAGAGAAAGAGAGUUGCUUUUGCCCUCUUUGGAGCCAGGGUGAAUUGAGGGUGAUGGGCCUAGUCUGGCUUGGCCAAGGAGACAGGACUUAAGUACUUAGAAACAGAAUAAAAGGUAAUAAAGAGUCAGGGAGGCUGGAUGCAGUGGCUCACACCUGUGUUCCCAGCACUUUGGGAGGCUGAGGCGGGUGGCUCACCUGAGGUCAGGAGUUCAAGACCAGCCUGGACAGCAUGGUGGAACCCUCUCUCUACAAAAAUAAACAAAUUAGCUGGGCGUGAUGAUGGGUGCCUGUAAUCCCAGCUAUCCUGGAGGCUGAGGAGGGAGAAUCAUUUGAACCUGGGGGGUUGCAGUGAGCCGAGAUUGCGCCAUUGCACUCCAGCCUGGGCAACACAGCAAGACUCCAUCUCACACACA